rnacentral:snRNA from 1 species
GUUCUCUCCGGAGACACGUAUAUUAAAAUUGGAACGAUACAGAGAAGAUUAGCAUGGCCCCUGCGCAAGGCCGGGGGGAGGAUCUUUGAGUUGAU